CAGCCGCCGCGGUAAUACGAAGGGUGCAAGCGUUAAUCGGAAUUACUGGGCGUAAAGCGUGCGUAGGCGGUGAGUUAAGUCUGCUGUGAAAUCCCCGGGCUCAACCUGGGAAUGGCAGUGGAUACUGGCUCGCUAGAGUGUGUCAGAGGAUGGUGGAAUUCCCGGUGUAGCGGUGCAAUGCGUAGAGAUCGGGAGGAACAUCAGUGGCGAAGGCGGCCAUCUGGGACAACACUGACGCUGAGGCACGAAAGCGUGGGGAGCAAACAGGAUUAGAUACCCCUGUAGUCCCUGUCUCUUAUAC
rnacentral:rRNA from 1 species